AAACAUUUCUGAGGGGGAAACAUUUUUGGUAUAACCUGCUCCAUGCUUAAGUUAAUAGCUGCAGUAUUUUGACUGUACAAAGGUAGCAUAAUAAUUAGUCUUUUAAUUAGAGGCUUGUAUGAAAGGUUGAAUGAAAGAUAAACUUUUUUAUAAAUAUUUUAAUUUUAUUUUUAAGUUAAAAAGCUUAAUUAAUUGAAAGGGACGAGAAGACCCUAUAGAAUUUGAAUUAUUAUAUUAUUUUUUAAUUGGGGUGAUAAAAAUAAACAUUUUUUUAUUUCACUAAUGAGUGAUGGAAUGAUCUUAUUAUUUAGAAUAAAGAUAAAAUUACCUUAGGGAUAACAGCAUAAUUUUUUUUUUAAGAUCAUAUUUAUAAAAAAGUUUAUGACCUCGAUGUUGAAUUAAAAUUAUAUUUAAAUGUAGGUGUUUAAGA
rnacentral:rRNA from 1 species